CAAAGUCCAAAACUCCCAGUUCCGGAAUGGUUCUUAAAGUUCAGUUCCGCAAGCCAUAAGGUGAAACAUGAGCAAGGGCUUCUUCAACAACCACCGUUGUCUGAAGAUAAGAUGUAGAUGUAGAAAAACACAGAGAGAGUACAUACGAAAUCCAAAUGUUCCACGAUGGAACCCAAACGACACUUCAGUGUUUACUCGGUAGUGACUUCCUCACCCCGAAAAGCAUCCGAACCGUGGUCGUCCACACACAAAUACCUGUUUCCUUCUACAGGUCAGCAACAAAGUGAACUCCACCGGAUUACUUCCAACUUCCAUACAUGGAUUUCAGUGGCAAACACAGUUAUUGUUUCUCAUCCAUCGAUAGAGAAAACAAGCAGGCUG